GAUGAAGAACGUAGUGAAAUGCGAUACUUGGUGCGAAUUGCAGAAUCCCGUGAACCAUCGAGUUUUUGAACGCAAGUUGCGCCCGAAGCCGUUAGGCUGAGGGCACGCCUGCCUGGGUGUCACACAUCGUUGCCCCAAUGCCAAUCGCCUCACUUUGUAGGUAUUUGCUUGGGGUGAAUGUUGGCCUCCCGUGAGCUUUGUCUCACGGUUGGUUGAAAAUCGAGUGCAUGGUGUCGGGUGUACCAUGAUGGAUGGUGGUUGAGUGAUGAUGCUCGAGACCAAUCAUGGGUAACUCCACCAGAAUUGGGCUCGGUGACCCACAUGCGUCCCUUGGAUGCUCCCUAAGGAGACCUCAGGUCAGGCGGGGCUACCCGCUGAGUUUAAGCAUAUCAAUAAGCGGAGGA
rnacentral:misc_RNA from 1 species